AGAGUGAACGCUGGCGGUAGGCCUAACACAUGCAAGUCGAACGGCAGCACAGUGGUAGCAAUACCAUGGGUGGCGAGUGGCGGACGGGUGAGGAAUACAUCGGAAUCUACCUUUUCGUGGGGGAUAACGUAGGGAAGCUUACGCUAAUACCGCAUACGCCCUUCGGGGGAAAGCCGGGGAUCGCAAGACCUGGCGCGGAUAGAUGAGCCGAUGUCGGAUUAGCUAGUUGGUGAGGUAAUGGCUCACCAAGGCGACGAUCCGUAGCUGGUCUGAGAGGAUGAUCAGCCACACUGGAACUGAGACGACGGUCCAGACCUCCGUACGGGAGCAGCAGUGGGAAUAUGGACAAGUGGGCGCAAGCCUGACUCCGAGCCAUACCCGCGUGGGUAGAAGAACGGUCCUUACGGGUUGUUAAAACGUCCCGUUUUAGGUUA
rnacentral:rRNA from 1 species